rnacentral:rRNA from 1 species
UUUUUGGAGAGUUUGAUCCUGGCUCAGGAUUAACGCUGGCGGCAUGCCUAAGACAUGCAAGUCGAACGAGGUGACCCUUUGAAAGCGGAGUGCUUGCACAAAACUGGAUUUGGAUUUUCACCUAGUGGCAGACGGGUGAGUAACACGUAGGUAACCUACCUUUAAGUUGGGGAUAACAGUUGGAAACGACUGCUAAUACCGAAUAAUAUGUAGAAAUGAUUUUUCUAUAUUAAAAGAUGCCUUUAAAGCAUCGCUUUUAGAUGGGCCUGCGGCGUAUUAGCUAGUUGGUGGGAUAACGGCCUACCAAGGCAACGAUGCGUAGCCGAACUGAGAGGUUGAACGGCCACAUUGGGACUGAGACACGGCCCAAACUCCUACGGGAGACAGCAGUUAGGAAUAUUCGUCAAUGGGGGAAACCCUGAACGAGCAAUGCCGCGUGAAUGAUGACGGUCCUUUGGAUUGUAAAAUUCUGUUGUUAGGGAAGAACGACCUAUAUAGGAAAUGAUAUAGGAGUGACUGUACCUUUCAAGAAAGCUCCGGCUAACUACGUGCCAGCAGCCGCGGUAAUACGUAGGGAGCAAGCGU